rnacentral:ncRNA from 1 species
UUUUAUGAGGUAAAGCGAAUGAUUAGGGACCCGGGGGCGCUAUAUAGCCUUCAUCCAUUCUCAAACUUUAAAUAUGUAAGA